CCAGACUCCUACGGGAGGCAGCAGUAGGGAAUCUUCGGCAAUGGACGAAAGUCUGACCGAGCAACGCCGCGUGAGUGAAGAAGGUUUUCGGAUCGUAAAACUCUGUUGGUAGAGAAGAACGUUGGUGAGAGUGAAAAGCUCAUCAAGUGACGGUAACUACCCAGAAAGGGACGGCUAACUACGUGCCAGCAGCCGCGGUAAUACGUAGGUCCCGAGCGUUGUCCGGAUUUAUUGGGCGUAAAGCGAGCGCAGGUGGUUUAUUAAGUCUGGCGUAAAAGGCAGUGGCUCAACCAUUGUAUGCAUUGGAAACUGGUAGACUUGAGUGCAGGAGAGGAGAGUGGAAUUCCAUGUGUAGCGGUGAAAUGCGUAGAUAUAUGGAGGAACACCGGUGGCGAAAGCGGCUCUCUGGCCUGUAACUGACACUGAGGCUCGAAAGCGUGGGGAGCAAACAGGAUUAGAUACCCUGGUAGUCCACGCCGUAAACGAUGAGUGCUAGAUGUAGGGAGCUAUAAGUUCUCUGUAUCGCAGCUAACGCAAUAAGCACUCCGCCUGGGGAGUACGACCGCAAGGUUGAAACUCAAAGGAAUUGACGGGGGCCCGCACAAG
rnacentral:rRNA from 1 species